rnacentral:rRNA from 1 species
GACGAACGCUGGCGGCGUGCUUAACACAUGCAAGUCGAGCGGUAAGGCCCUUUCGGGGGUACACGAGCGGCGAACGGGUGAGUAACACGUGGGUGACCUGCCCUUAGCUCUGGGAUAAGCCUGGGAAACUGGGUCUAAUACCGGAUAUGACUCCAUGACGCAUGUUGUGGGGUGGAAAGCCUUGUGCGGCUAGGGAUGGGCCCGCGGCCUAUCAGCUUGUUGGUGGGGUGACGGCCACCAAGGCGACGACGGGUAGCCGGCCUGAGAGGGCGACCGGCCACACUGGGACUGAGACACGGCCCAGACUCCUACGGGAGGCAGCAGUGGGGAAUCUUGCGCAAUGGGCGAAAGCCUGACGCAGCGACGCCGCGUGGGGA